rnacentral:rRNA from 1 species
UACGUAGGGUGCGAGCGUUGUCCGGAAUUAUUGGGCGUAAAGAGCUCGUAGGCGGUCUGUCGCGUCGGUCGUGAAAACUUGGGGCUUAACCCUGAGCUUGCGGUCGAUACGGGCAUGACUGGAGUUCGGUAGGGGAGACUGGAAUUCCUGGUGUAGCGGUGAAAUGCGCAGAUAUCAGGAGGAAUACCGGUGGCGAAGGCGGGUCUCUGGGCCGAUACUGACGCUGAGGAGCGAAAGCGUGGGGAGCGAACAGG